GGCCCACUGCCUGAUGAUGAUGACAUGGCUUCUCCCAAACUCAAGCUGAGUAGGAAGAGUGGCAUUUCUCCUAAAAAAUCAAAAUACAUGACUCCAAUGCAGCAGAAACUAAAUGAGGUCUAUGAAGCUGUAAAGAACUAUACUGAUAAGAGGGGUCGCCGCCUCAGUGCCAUAUUUCUGAGGCUUCCCUCUAGAUCUGAGUUGCCUGACUACUAUCUGACUAUUAAAAAGCCCAUGGACAUGGAAAAAAUUCGAAGUCACAUGAUGGCCAACAAGUACCAAGAUAUUGACUCUAUGGUUGAGGACUUUGUCAUGAUGUUUAAUAAUGCCUGUACAUACAAUGAGCCUGAGUCUUUGAUCUACAAAGAUGCUCUUGUUCUACACAAAGUCCUGCUUGAAACACGCAGAGACCUGGAGGGAGAUGAGGACUCUCAUGUCCCAAAUGUGACUUUGCUGAUUCAAGAGCUUAUCCACAAUCUUUUUGUGUCAGUCAUGAGUCAUCAGGAUGAUGAGGGAAGAUGCUACAGUGAUUCUUUAGCAGAAAUUCCUGCUGUGGAUCCCAACUUUCCUAACAAACCACCCCUUACAUUUGACAUAAUUAGGAAGAAUGUUGAAAAUAAUCGCUACCGGCGGCUUGAUUUAUUUCAAGAGCAUAUGUUUGAAGUAUUGGAACGAGCAAGAAGGAUGAAUCGGUAUGUUUUCAAAGCCAGUUUCAUUUUGAGGAUGUGUGCUAUUUAAUACAAAACAGAUGAAAGAAUAUUGCUUUGAUGUACUAUUUCCACUUACAUACGUGAUUGUAGUUGGUAGCAUGCUAUUCUGAAUUCUAAUUAGCCAGAACUUCUUAAGAGUGAGUAUAUUCUGUGGGGGAGAGAAGGCACACCACUAAGUCAUCUAGUUUAAGGCCAGUGAGGAGGAAGA
rnacentral:sRNA from 1 species